UACAGAGGUCUCAAGCGUUGUUCGGAUUCAUUGGGCGUAAAGGGUGUGUAGGUGGCGCCGUAAGUCAGGUGUGAAAUCUCGGGGCUUAACUCCGAAACUGCAUUUGAUACUGCGGUGCUUGAGGACUGGAGAGGAGACUGGAAUUUAUGGUGUAGCAGUGAAAUGCGUAGAUAUCAUAAGGAAGACCAGUGGCGAAGGCGGGUCUCUGGACAGGUCCUGACACUGAGACACGAAGGCCAGGGGAGCAAACGGG
rnacentral:rRNA from 1 species